rnacentral:ncRNA from 1 species
ACCUCCUGCCCUCGUGAUCGUCUUCUCACCUUUCACCGGGCAGGUGGAGAGAAAGGGAGGGCCCCCGUACGGACGUGACGUACGGGGGCCCUCC